GUAUCAACUCUUACUAAGUCCUCAACUACAACUAACUACAUAAAUCACAGUAUACAUCACAUCAAAACAAAUGAAAUACCGUAUACAAAAAGGUGGUAGUCAGUCGGUCAGUCAGACAAUCCAAUCCGCCAAUAGACCUCCAGCAGAGAAAGGCCACGAAGAACGGAGAGGUGUAGUCCACGGACGCAAAGAGUGGAUCCGAUCCUGGGUAAACUCUAUUAGGCAACAAAACAAACGGAAAAACAAAGAGAAGCUUCGGAACUGAGGGUUGAACACGUCUCCAUCACAACCCCACUUUUGCGCAGCUGAUGCUGGCUAUUUAAUUGGGAAUUAAAGGGAAAGCGCCCUAUUGGAAGGAGCUGCACUGAGACGGUUCAGAAUAAUUCAGGGCCGUCACAACACACACACACAGACACACACACACAGACACACACACACACACACACACACAUACACACACACACAGACACACACACACAGACACACACAGACACAUGGCUAACUACGUGUCUGUAUCUCCUCCUUGUGGACAUUGAUGACACUCCACUGUCCUGUGAAAUGGGAGCACCUGGUAUAUGGCACGUACUGUACACUAUCUCCAUGACAGCCUGCAGUGCUGAGCAUCCCCACCUUGUGGCAGAGCACUGAAAUGGUUCAGUCCAUAGGUUAAAGCAUCCUGGUCCUGGGGGACCCGAAUGGGUGCACAUUUUAGUUUUUGCCCUAGCACUACACACGUGAUUCAAAUCAGCAAAGCCUUUUGAUGAGUUGAUGAUUUGAAUCAACUGUGUAGUGCUAGGGCAAAAACUAAAAUGUGCACCCCUUCGGGUCCCCCAGGACCAGGGUUGAGAACCAGUGGGUUAGAGAGACCGGGUAGUGUAGUGAUUAAAUGGUUCAGUCCGUAGGUUAGAGAGACUGGGUCUGAGUAGUAAUUAAAUGGUUCAGUCCGCAGGUUAGAGAGACUGGUUAGUGUAGUGAUUAAAUGGUUCAGUCCGUAGGUUAGAGAGACUGGGUAGUGUAGUGAUUAAAUGGUUCAGUCCGUAGGUUAGAGAGACUGGGUCUGAGUAGUGAUUAAAUGGUUCAGUCCGUAGGUUAGAGAGACUGGGUAGUGUAGUGAUUAAAUGGUUCAGUCCGUAGGUUAGAGAGACUGGGUCUGAGUAGUGAUUAAAUGGUUCAGUCCGUAGGUUAGAGAGACUGGGUCUGAGUAGUGAUUAAAU
ensembl:lncRNA